rnacentral:lncRNA from 1 species
AAUGCAUACUCAUUUACUGAUAAAAAUUUGACUUUAGGGGCCAACUCCGUGGCCUAGUGGCUAAAUUUGGCAAACUCCGCUUUGGUGCCCCGGGUUUGUGAGUUUGGUUCCUGGGCGCGGACCUACACCACUGGUUGGUGGCCAUGCUAUGGCAGCCACCCACAUACAAAAUAAAGGAAGACUGGUGCAGAUGUGAGCUCAGCGACAAUUUUCCUCACAAAAAAAAAAAAAACAAAAAUGUUGGACUUUAUACCAUUGUAAUGAUAAACAUUAAAACAUACUCUUAUGAAUGGAACCACGCUUAUGAGGGAGUGGCACAGAAUCAAAGAGAUUCAUUUUAAUAGAUUAACCAGAAAAAAUAAUAAUCAAAUCACACCUCAGUAGAUGCAGAAAAAGCAGUUGUUAAUAGUUAGUACCCAGUCAUAGUUUAAAAUGUUAGUAACAUCCUGGAAAGCAAGGAAUAAAAUUAUUAAAAUCUGAUUUAAAAACCUCUGCUAGAAAGAGACAGCAGGCUGGCCCCGUGGCUGAGUGGUUAAGUUCGUGCGCUCCGCUGCAGGCGGCCCAGUGUUUCGUUGGUUCGAAUCCUGGGCGCGGACAUGGCACUGCUCAUCAGACCACGCUGAGGCAGUGUCCCACAUGCCACAACUAGAAGGACCCACAACAAAGAAUAUACAAUUAUGUAGCCGGGGGGCUUUGGGGAGAAAAAGGAAAAAUAAAAUCUUUAAAAAAAAAAAAAGAAAAGAAAGAUACAGCAAACAAUCCACAAACUAGGUAAAGUACAGAGCAUUCCUGGAAUGACAGGCAAGAUGCAGAUUUCCACCAUUCUUGCACAUAUUCAGCUUUAUAUCUAAGGUCAUAACCAGCCCAGUGGGUCAAGAAAAAGCGGGAUAAAGGAAACUUGGUGAAAAAGAUACAAAUUAUAAUUAUUUGCCCAGGAUAUCUGCCUACAUUAAAAAACCAGGAAAAUCUGCAAACAAUCAGAAAUGUUACAGAUUUCACCAAGGCUGCUGCUGGACAAGAGAUCACCUCCCACAACUCAAAAGAGACCUAUUCACCAGCAACAACUUCUUACAGAAAAAAAAUGAUUUCUUUUCAAAAGAGCCCUCUCAGAAUAAAAACAAAGACUGGGUAAUUGAAGGACAAAUCUACAAAUAAUCGUCAAGGUCAUUCUGCAUAAAAUGGUAAACUUUUAUUGGGGGGCAUUAAAUAUCUGAACAUAUGGGGAGAUAUAACUUGCCUACGAAUGGGAAAGUUUAACAAGAAGCUGAUUCGUCCAAAUUCACUUGUCAACCCUAAACAAUGCUGAUCUGAAUGCUACCUGCCCUUUGUGUCUGUGUGUGGACUUGAUAAAGUUUUGCCCCCAAAUCAUAUAAGCAAAUAAUAUAAAUGCAAUGUAAUACGUCAAUUAUAUCCCAAAAGAAUAAUAUGGAAUAAAUUCUCAACUAUUCUAAAAUUUAUGUGGAAGAACAGGAUAUUUUGAAAAACAUGAAGGAAAGGCUUUCUCUGUAUGCCCUUCAGAAAGGUGAAAUGAUAAAAAGCUGGUAAAUGGUGUGGGUUGACAGGGGUCAGGGCUAAAGGUCAGAGUGUAGACUGGGGUAUCCAUGAUGGAGAUUAAAUGUUUUAUACGUUUAAAACAUGACCAAGUAGCCAGGAUCCUGGGAAUGAAUCGAGGAAGAAACUCUCAUCCUGGUCAACGAGAUGACAGUUGAGGGGGUUGUCACAGAAUCCUUCACAGUCAUGGGAGUGGGAGGCAGCCUAAGGGCAUUACUGAAGGAAGAUGCCAGCAACAUGUGGAGAUGCACACCAAGGAAUACGAUGCAGCAAUGAGAAGCAAUGGGAUAAAUACACUCAGUGUCACACAGUUUUAUAAAUAGUGGUGUGCAAAAAAUAAACAGAAUGAAAUUUAAAAUACAAUCUUAUUUAUGUACAUUAAAAACAUAUGCUCCCGUGAAAAUGUCCUAGGAAAGGAGGACUCAAAUAAACAAAGUUGCUCAUAUAAAUAAGGGAAAUAAAGGUUUUUGGACAUUGGAAGAGUGGUCUGUGGUGGGCAAGAAAAUGAGAGAGAGGCAGGGGAUGAGAGAGAAAAAGAAAAAGUAAUGUAGAUGGAAUAAGCUCCAGUGAGAUGGCAGCUAAACAGGUGGGCAUUUGUCUGGGGAGCAAACAAUGAGGGGAGAUGCCCUAAGUGGGUGGCAGAGACCCCACUUCAGCUCCUGGGCAGCUGGGUGUCUUACUGAUGCCCUAACAUGCACUGUGCAGAACUGCAUUCUGGGAUUCCAUAGAGGGUCUGGUGGACGGGUGACAUACCUCCAACUGAAUGCAUUGCAGCGCUAAACCUAGGCACGCGCAUCUGUUACCAGCUCACAGUUAUAGACAACAUAUGAAAUAUUCCACCACGUUCACCAAGUUCAGUCAUGGGACCUUCUCUGCGAGAGAGGUCCUGCAGGCAAGGCUCUGUGAAUAAGCACAAACUGUGGACAAACAGGCUCGAGACCUUCUUGCUUGCCCUGUUUGAAGACAGUGGAAGCAGUGACGUAGCAUAUACACUCACGGGGGCGCAGCAGACAAAAAGAGGGGAGUGACCAGAAGGGGGCAAACUUUUCUCUCUGGACUAUUCAUAGCUGGAGCUCUGAUCCCACGGGUCCAUGAGGUCUAGUGCACUUGAUGGGUGAUGGGAUUCCUGGGCUUGUAGAUGGCAGAGCUUUGCGCGCGCGCGUGUGUGCCUGCGUGUGCGCGUGCAUCUGUGUGUGUGUGUGGGGGGGGUGGGUGCAUCAAGACAGCGGGUGAAUAGGGAUCCAUUCAAUUGCUGGCGUUUGGAGAGGGCCUGAGGGCAGAGAGCAAACCUUCCAUCUGCGCUAUCGAGGGGGAAAGAUUACUGAUCCAUAGUGAGAAGCUGGAAGAUCAUUGCUGAGACGGAGAAGAACCAAAUUCCCAGGUCGGAACAGACAAGGCAGAACUCAAAUGGUGCCAAAUUCCAAUUAAACAAGUUUCCACCUCUGAACAAGAUCUAGGUUCCUGAGGUCAAAGAAAGAUUUCCCUGGAAUUGGUGUGUCUGCGCGAGGAGACCAGCCUUGUGGGCCAAGAGGGAGUUGGGACCAGUGAACAGAUGGGAAGUGACCUCGGGGGGGCUGGGAGAUAAGACUCAUGAGUUGCACGCGUUUCAGGAGAGGAGACUUGCAAGGGCAGGAGCGCGGAUGCCAGGGCACCGACACUGGCGAGGACACCCGCAGCUGGAGCGCAACGGGCGUGGAGACCAGUACGGAGUCAAGCGUCGCCACCGUUGCAGGAGAGGGCACUUGGCAGCUGAGAAGACUUGCACUGUGGGUGUCACGGGCGUUGUAGGCGACGAGACAGGUCUUGUGCACGUGGAGACGGGCGAUGAGACUGGCGACAGGGGCUUACGCAUGGAGACUGGAGAGGAAGUCUCUGUCCGGGGCAUCACCAACAUCCGGGGCGUGGAGACUGGCGUCACAGACGUCGGGGGCGUGGAGAGGGGCGAGGAGAUUGGCAGUGGGGUUUGACCAGCGAGGUGAGGAGACAGGAGCGGAGAGCAGCCUUGGGGUGUUGGUGGCGUGGAGUCGAGGGAGGAGACUGGUAUCGGAGGCAUAGAGAUGAGCGAAAAGAUGCCAGACGAGGGUGUCGAGGGCAUGGGGGGCGUGGAGACCGGUGGGGAGACCCGCGUCCCGGACGUUGCAGCGGUCUGGGGUGGGGAGAUGGCCGAGGAGAGCUGCGUUCCAGGCGUGGAGACCGGAGAUGCGGGCAUCUGAAGCGUGGAGAUCCAAAAGGAGACCGUGUCUCGGGUGUUGCAGGUGCGGAGACUGGCGUGCGGGGAGUGGAGAUUGGCUUGGAGACAUGCGUCCCAGGAGUCGUGGGCAUUGAAGGAACAGGCUGACCACAGGCGGGAAAUACACCUGCAACGCAUCCAUCACAGCUGACAGAAGAAUAGAACAAUGUGAUGCCCGGAGCCUGUCAUGCCUGGAGACCAACAUCCCUGGCCCCCCUCAUUGCCCAUUUUCCCUCUGUAACUGCCUCAAGAUUCUCUAAACCUUGAAGAUGGGUUUUGUGAGACAUUAGUCACCUAUCUUGUGAUUAGCCGGCUAAUCUAAUUAAACUUCCUUUCUCGA